rnacentral:rRNA from 1 species
GACGAACGCUGGCGGCGUGCUUAACACAUGCAAGUCGAACGGAAACGCCCUGCUUGUUUGGGGUGCUCGACUGGCGAACGGGUGAGUAACACGUGCGUGACCUGCCCCUGACUUUGGGAUAACGUCAGCAAACUGAGGCUAAUACCGGAUAGGAGCUCCUGCUGCAUGGUGGGGGUGGGAAAGUUUCGGCGGUUCGGGAUGGACUCGCGGCUGAUCAGCUUGUUGGUGGGGUAGUGGAUUACCACGGCUUUGGAGGGUAGCCGGCCUGAGAGGGGGACCGGGCACAUGGCGACUGAGAUACGGCCCAGAGUAGUACGGGAGGCAGCAGUGGGGAAUCUUGCCCAAUCGGGCCAAGUGUGGUGCAGCAGCGCCGCGUUCGGGAUGACAGACUGCGGGUAGUAAACCGCUUUCUCCUGUGACGGGGCGUGAGUGACGGUACCGUAUGAAGAAGCACCGGCUAACUACGUG